UACGUAGGGGGCAAGCGUUGUCCGGAUUUAUUGGGCGUAAAGAGCGUGUAGGCGGCCUGAAAGGUCAGCUGUGAAAACUCGAGGCUCAACCUCGAGACGUCGGUUGAAACCAUCUGGCUAGAGUCCGGAAGAGGAGAGUGGAAUUCCCGGUGUAGCGGUGAAAUGCGCAGAUAUCGGGAAGAACACCAAUAGCGAAGGCAGCUCGCUGGGACGUUACUGACGCUGAGGCGCGAAAGCGUGGGGAGCGAACAGG
rnacentral:rRNA from 1 species